rnacentral:rRNA from 1 species
UAGGGAAUCUUCGGCAAUGGACGAAAGUCUGACCGAGCAACGCCGCGUGAGUGAAGAAGGUUUUCGGAUCGUAAAACUCUGUUGUUAGAGAAGAACAAGGACGUUAGUAACUGAACGUCCCCUGACGGUAUCUAACCAGAAAGCCACGGCUAACUACGUGCCAGCAGCCGCGGUAAUACGUAGGUGGCAAGCGUUGUCCGGAUUUAUUGGGCGUAAAGCGAGCGCAGGCGGUUUCUUAAGUCUGAUGUGAAAGCCCCCGGCUCAACCGGGGAGGGUCAUUGGAAACUGGGGGACUUGAGUGCAGAAGAGGAGAGUGGAAUUCCAUGUGUAGCGGUGAAAUGCGUAGAUAUAUGGAGGAACACCAGUGGCGAAGGCGGCUCUCUGGUCUGUAACUGACGCUGAGGCUCGAAAGCGUGGGGAGCAAAUAGG